rnacentral:lncRNA from 1 species
AGCCUGAGCUUUUCAUCCACCUUGUCCCAGACAAGGCCACGAACACGCUCUCCAUCAUCGACAGCGGCAUCGGCAUGACCAAGUCCGACCUUGUCAACAACCUCGGUACCAUCGCCAGGUCCGGGACGAAGGAGUUCAUGGAAGCUCUUGCUGCCGGCGCUGAUGUGUCCAUGAUUGGCCAGUUCGGCGUCGGUUUCUACUCUGCCUACCUCGUCGCCGAUAGAGUUGUCGUGACCACCAAGCACAACGAUGACGAGCAGUACGUGUGGGAGUCCCAAGCGGGCGGGUCGUUCACUGUUACUCGUGACACGUCAGGGGAGCAGCUUGGCAGGGGCACUAAGAUCACACUGUUCCUUAAGGACGAUCAGGUAUGCUGCAAGCUGCUUCAAUCAAAGAUCGUUAUUAUGUUUUUUGUUGCAAUGCAUAAUGUAAUCGUGUUCUAGUGGCACAAGCCAAGUGUGCCUGUGUUUUGUCUAGCUGUCCUUGUCCUUUAACUAGUGACUGUUCUGUUUUGAUUCUAGAAUAGAUAGAUCACUGUUAUGCCUGAUGUCAUCUACGAGUCCUAAGAUGGUAAAGCUUAUGAGAAAUAUAGGCUUGUGCUAAUUUUGGCUUAUGGAUGCAAACACCAAUAGUUUUGGGUCAUCAAGUUGUCCCACAAUUUGCUAAAAUGAAUAAUAAUGGCACCACCUCAUUAAAUUUUAGGGAGAGGAUUCACUUAAAUGGUGCGCUAGUAUUAUUAGUUACUGAUCCAAAGUAAGCCAUGGGUAGAACACUUGCAUCCCCAUGUAGAGUAUUUCACAAGUGUUAUUUGCUAUAGCUUACUUGGCUUAUCUACAUUUACCUUGAUAUUCCAUCAUAUACACAUUUGUGGAACAGCUCAACAUGAUCUUUUGCAAAUUGUGAUCUUAAUUACAAGCCAACCUUUUUAUCAGGGAGAUGUUGCACUGCAAAUUAGCACUUGCAUACUUAAUGAAGCAUCCAAGUUUGUUAAAUAACUGUGUUACAUAAUCUAGUCAGUUGUUCAAAUAAUGUGUUUAUCAUUUUGAAGUGAACAUGCAAUUGUUUUGUGCUGUGGGAGUAGGUGGCACAUAUUUUGGGAUACAUUGAUUUUUAUAUAUGCUUGCUUUGCUGCAUCCAUUAAAUGUGCAAAAUGUUCUUUAUAAUGUCCUGUAAAGAAAAUAAAUUGGUUAAAUAUAGAGCCUUUAAGCUAACGGUACAAACUACAUGAACUUAUUCUCUUGUCAUCAAUUGCCUCCUUGGUUAUUUAGAAAUGUAUUUAGAUUAUUCUGUAUUGAAUUGUUUUUUCUGUGGGAGCUGCUGGUGUUACUUGUAAUCACAUUUCAACUUCUCUCUUGCAGCUGGAGUACCUUGAGGAGCGUCGCCUCAAGGAUCUGGUCAAGAAGCACUCUGAGUUCAUCAGCUACCCCAUCUCCCUGUGGACUGAAAAGACAACAGAGAAGGAAAUUUCUGACGACGAAGACGAGGAAGAGAAGAAAGAUGCUGAGGAAGGAAAGGUUGAGGAUGUUGAUGAGAAGGAAGAGAAAGAAAAGAAGAAAAAGAAGAUCAAGGAGGUUUCUCAUGAGUGGUCAUUGGUCAACAAGCAGAAGCCCAUAUGGAUGAGGAAGCCAGAAGAAAUCACAAAAGAAGAAUAUGCUGCCUUCUAUAAGAGCUUGACAAAUGACUGGGAGGAGCAUCUGGCUGUGAAGCACUUCUCUGUGGAGGGUCAACUGGAGUUCAAGGCUGUUCUCUUUGUUCCUAAGAGGGCCCCCUUUGAUCUCUUUGACACCAAGAAGAAGCAAAACAACAUCAAGCUCUAUGUGCGCAGGGUGUUCAUCAUGGACAACUGCGAAGAGCUGAUCCCUGAGUGGCUGAGCUUCGUUAAGGGUAUUGUUGACUCUGAGGACCUUCCCCUCAAUAUCUCUCGUGAGACUCUUCAGCAGAACAAGAUCCUGAAGGUGAUCAGGAAGAACCUUGUGAAGAAGUGUGUUGAGCUCUUCUUUGAGAUUGCUGAGAACAAGGAGGACUACAACAAGUUUUACGAGGCUUUCUCCAAGAACCUCAAGCUUGGCAUCCACGAGGACUCGCAGAACAGGACCAAGAUCGCCGAGCUUCUGAGAUACCACUCCACCAAGAGUGGUGAUGAGCUGACCAGCCUCAAGGACUACGUGACCAGGAUGAAGGAGGGACAGAAUGACAUAUACUAUAUCACUGGUGAGAGCAAGAAGGCAGUGGAGAACUCCCCCUUCCUUGAGAAGCUGAAGAAGAGGGGCUAUGAGGUUCUGUACAUGGUUGAUGCCAUUGACGAGUAUGCUGUUGGUCAGCUCAAGGAGUUUGAGGGCAAGAAGCUUGUCUCUGCCACCAAGGAGGGUCUGAAGCUUGAUGAGACUGAGGACGAGAAGAAGAGGAAGGAGGAGCUGAAGGAGAAGUUUGAGGGGCUGUGCAAGGUCAUCAAGGAGGUUCUGGGUGACAAAGUUGAGAAGGUGGUGGUGUCUGAUCGCGUUGUGGACUCACCGUGCUGCCUUGUGACUGGCGAGUAUGGCUGGACCGCCAACAUGGAGAGGAUCAUGAAGGCACAGGCCCUGAGGGACUCGAGCAUGGCGGGCUACAUGUCGAGCAAAAAGACAAUGGAGAUCAACCCAGAGAACCCUAUCAUGGAUGAGCUCCGCAAGCGUGCCGAGGCUGACAAGAAUGACAAGUCAGUCAAGGAUCUCGUGAUGCUGCUGUUCGAGACUGCUCUCCUGACCUCCGGCUUCAGCCUGGAUGACCCCAACACCUUCGGCAACCGGAUCCACCGCAUGCUCAAACUCGGUCUGAGCAUCGAUGAGGACGAGCCUGUUGAGGCAGAGGCUGAGAUGCCUCAGCUUGAGGACGACGCUGGUGAAAGCAAGAUGGAG